UUGUUUGUCGAGGCUUCAAGAUAUAUAGCAACCCUUCUUUGCUAAAGAUACCAAUCAAUAUUGUGUUUACUGACCAACUCAGUUUUCAAACAACCUAUCGAACUGAACCCUGAAGAGUCUCCACUUGAUAAAACCAAUGGAUUCCAUCUGAAUCUGACAUGACUAAACCUCUCAUACAGUGUUAUGCUAAUCCUUGAAGUUCUGUCCUCACAUUCUUCAAAAGUGUUAACUUUCGUCGACUUGAGCUUCCUCAAAUUCAGUAGUUACAAACUCUUCUGU
rnacentral:lncRNA from 1 species